rnacentral:rRNA from 1 species
GAACUGAAGAGUUUGAUCAUGGCUCAGAUUGAACGCUGGCGGCAGGCCUAACACAUGCAAGUCGAGCGGUAGAGAGAAGCUUGCUUCUCUUGAGAGCGGCGGACGGGUGAGUAAUGCCUAGGAAUCUGCCUGGUAGUGGGGGAUAACGUUCGGAAACGGACGCUAAUACCGCAUACGUCCUACGGGAGAAAGCAGGGGACCUUCGGGCCUUGCGCUAUCAGAUGAGCCUAGGUCGGAUUAGCUAGUUGGUGGGGUAAUGGCUCACCAAGGCGACGAUCCGUAACUGGUCUGAGAGGAUGAUCAGUCACACUGGAACUGAGACACGGUCCAGACUCCUACGGGAGGCAGCAGUGGGGAAUAUUGGACAAUGGGCGAAAGCCUGAUCCAGCCAUGCCGCGUGUGUGAAGAAGGUCUUCGGAUUGUAAAGCACUUUAAGUUGGGAGGAAGGGCCAUUACCUAAUACGUGAUGGUUUUGACGUUACCGACAGAAUAAGCACCGGCUAACUCUGUGCCAGCAGCCGCGGUAAUACAGAGGGUGCAAGCGUUAAUCGGAAUUACUGGGCGUAAAGCGCGCGUAGGUGGUUUGUUAAGUUGGA